CCUACGGGGGGCAGCAGUGGGGAAUAUUGGACAAUGGGGGGAACCCUGAUCCAGCCAUGCCGCGUGUGUGAAGAAGGCCCUCGGGUUGUAAAGCACUUUCAGUGAGGAAGAACGCCUGGUGGUUAAUACCCAUCAGGAAAGACAUCACUCACAGAAGAAGCACCGGCUAACUCCGUGCCAGCAGCCGCGGUAAUAUGGAGGGUGCGAGCGUUAAUCGGAAUUACUGGGCGUAAAGCGCGCGUAGGUGGCUUGAUAAGCCGGUUGUGAAAGCCCCGGGCUCAACCUGGGAACGGCAUCCGGAACUGUCAAGCUAGAGUGCAGGAGAGGAAGGUAGAAUUCCCGGUGUAGCGGUGAAAUGCGUAGAGAUCGGGAGGAAUACCAGUGGCGAAGGCGGCCUUCUGGACUGACACUGACACUGAGGUGCGAAAGCGUGGGUAGCAAACAGGAUUAGAUACCCUUGUAGUC
rnacentral:rRNA from 1 species